rnacentral:rRNA from 1 species
UACGUAGGUGCAAGCGUUGUCCGGAAUAUUGGGCGUAAAGAGCUCGUAGCGGCUUGUCACGUCGACUGUGAAACCGGGCUCAACUCCGGGCCUGCAGUCGAUACGGCUGGCUUGAGUGCGGUAGGGGAGACUGGAAUCUGGUGUAGCGGUGAAAUGCGUAGAUAUCGGAGAACACCAGUGGCGAAGGCGAACUACCUGGCCUGUCUGACGCUGAGGCGCGAAAGCUAGGGAGCAACAGGAUAGAACC